GGCGAGUGAAGCGGGAAGAGCUCAAAUUUGUAAUCUGGCACUUUCAGUGUCCGAGUUGUAAUCUCGAGAAGUAUUUUCCGCGCCGGACCGCAUACAAGUCUGUUGGAAUACAGCGUCAUAGUGGUGAGAACCCCGUAACUGAUGCGGAUGCCCGGUGCUUUGUGAUAUACUUUCGAAGAGUCGAGUUGUUUGGGAAUGCAGCUCAAAUUGGGUGGUAAAUUCCAUCUAAAGCUAAAUAUUGGAGCAAGACCGAUAGCGAACAAGUACCGUGAGGGAAAGAUGAAAAGCACUUUGGAAAGAGAGUUAACAGUACGUGAAAUUGUUGGAAGGGAAACGCUUGAAGUCAGACUUGCUAUUCGGAGUUCAGCCGCAAGGUGUAUUCUUCGAUUUGCAGGCCAGCAUCAGUUUUUGGGGGUGGAAAAUCGUGGUUUGAAGGUAGCAGUUUCGGCUGUGUUAUAGCUUUCCACUGGAUUCAUCUUCGGGG
rnacentral:rRNA from 1 species